rnacentral:misc_RNA from 1 species
GUAGGUGAACCUGCGGAAGGAUCAUUACGUUUCUGCCUUUUUACAGGCAGUCGGGGGGCUAUAGUCUCUAUAGCCCCUGUCUGAACCCGUGUCUUUUGUGUACCACAUGUUUCCUCGGCGGGCUUGCCCGCCGGAUGGACCUCUUAAACCCUAUGCAAUUGCAAUCAGCGUCUGAAAAUUUAUAAUAAUUACAACUUUCAACAACGGAUCUCUUGGUUCUGGCAUCGAUGAAGAACGCAGCAUCUGACUG